ensembl:lncRNA
AAAACACUCUCACCUGGACAGGGUUUCCCUUGACAACGGCGUGUCUCUAAGUCUGAUCCUGCACAGUGUCGGCCUCCAUUGGCAGGUAGAGGAUUGUUGCACUGCCUCAGCCUAUUCUGAGCACCAGCACCACAGGACACACUGCAAGGAGCCCACUAUCAGAAGUCAUGCUGUUACAUGAAUGAGAUAUUUCUUUAAAUACUUUUUUUCCUACACUACAGUAAAAAUGGUUACAGUAAAACAUGUUGUCACAUUACUGAAGAAAAUUCCAGACACUCACGAGACCCAUGAGAAGUGGUUGAAACUGAGAAAGUUCUGUUUUUUUGUUUCUUUCUUUCUUUCUGGUCAAACUGCAGUAAAACUGUUAAAAUCAAGCACAUAUACUCCACCGAGGAAGCCCAUUAGAUGAGGUAGAAAAAGGCAGUAAGUGGAUCUUGAGUUACUGUUUUUCCUCCAUCGGCUGAAGAAGCCUGGAAAAGGGGUUUUGCUCUGAAAAGAGGAAGUGUGGGCUCCCUGGUGACCAGAGGAACAUCGCAGGCAGAUCUUCAUGACCCAGCAGGAACAACAGGACACAGUGGGAAUGAAUUAAUGAGCUACAUGACACUGUGAAAACACCACAACACCAUCACAGGAAGAGUGGUGGGUUCAACAGUUUAAAACACCUCUGGAGUCAAACUUCCCCACAAUGAAGAAACAGAUUCUUAUCAAUACCAAAGAGCUGCUAUUACUGUGUUGGACUCGAGGUCAUGUACAACUGGCUCUCUUCCACAAAAAUGCACCACUGAGGAACCAUGAAACACUGGAGCUAGUUUGACUUUUACAUAAGUCAUGACAAAAGAUGUUGAGCUGCUUUUAAUAACUAACAGUAUAAUUAAUCUAUACAUGAAAUAACCAGGGCUGCACAGUUGUUCAGUGGUUAGCACUGUCACCUCGCAGCUAGAAGAUCCCCAGUUUGCAUCCCGGCCUGGGAUCUGUCUGCAUGGAGUUUGCAUGUCCUCCCUGUGCAUGCAUGGGUUUUGUUUGUCUCUAUAUGUAGCCCUGUGAUAGACUGGUGACAUGUCCAGGGUGUCUCCUGUCUUCACCCUAAGUCAGCUGGGAUAGACUCCAGCCCCCCGCGACCCUAAGGAGGAUUAAAUGGUGUAUAGAUAAUGGAUGGAUGAAAUAACCAACAGUGCAUGUGUGGGGUUAAAGGUCAAAUGGUGGCCAAUCAGAGCUGCUUUCAUGUAAUUUAAAUUAAAGCUGCACAGUUGUAAUAUUUUUACAUUCACAAUAGAGAACAUUAACCAUGUACAGCC